rnacentral:lncRNA from 1 species
AUGAAUCCAAGAUUACUUGCUCUAGCCAUUUGGAGCCUCCCUUUUCUGAGUUCAAUCUUCCCUUCAAAUUUUCUUAGCUAGUUAAUAGCCAAAAGUCAAGCAAAUUGACUUUUGCUUUGACUUUCGGUUAUGACUUUUUUGGUCAAGUCAAAGUUCAAAUUGAACUUUGCUACGUGAUCGUAAUGAUGAAGGUGUUAAUCCCUCGCGAUUACACCCUCUGAUCAUCACGUAUAAUAGGUGAAAUGAUGAGUCAAACUUUUACGAAAUAAAAGUAAAAAAAUGCAUAAAAAUGCAUUUUACUAUGAAAGAGUUUUCGGGUAUUAAAACCUAAGGUUUUGACACCAAAUCUGUUUUAUAACAUUAUUAGACAUAUUCUAACAUGUCUAACUCGUCAUUUCUAGUUUAGCGUUUAUUCCUUAGUCGAAAGUCGAGCGGUUUGACUUCUGCUUUGACUUCCGAAUCUUACCCGUUUGGUCAACUUUAAGAUCCGACCAAGCCCAUUUAUAUGACCAUAGUAAUAUAGGGAAUAACACUCUGAGGCUAUACCUUAUGGUCAUGUCGUUUGGUUAGUCAAAUGACGAGUCAACUUUAGAUACUUUUAAAAUGUCUAAAAUACCCUUUUCGCAUAAAAUAGUUUAAAACAUAUAUGAUCAUUGUUUUUGACUUAUAAACUGAUCAUACAACAUUAUUAAACAUGUUUUGACAUAUCGGACUCAUCAUAAGACUCAUUCGACCAUCCGAACCCGUAGUUACGCGUACGGCCCAUUAAAGUGGCGUAAACCAUUUUAACAAGUCGUAAUGGGUCGAAACACCUUUAGACACCUUCUAAUUAGAAUGUAAGGUAUUAUGAACCAUAUUAUAUGAGAUCCUUCACUUGUUUGGUUAAUAAACCUCUUUCUAUCCGUUCUUCCGUUUAAGCCACAAUAAACACUAACCUAAUAAUUAUCCGAAUUAUUAGGAAACACUUGAAUCACUUGAGCUUCGCUAGACACGAUUAGGCAAGACAUCUACGCAAAACUGUGUUAACACUUGCGAUGAUUACUCAAGUAUGCUACACAUAGGAACGAACUCGGGCCUUAGACUUCUUUAAAUCGAAAACAAUUACUUAUAUUCAGUGUAUUGUAAAACAAUGCAAUAUAAUGAAACUUUAGUACCAUGUGUUCUGAGCAACUUGUAACGUGCCUCCUCGACGAUUC